rnacentral:lncRNA from 1 species
UGAAUAAAGGAAUAUUAUUCAUAAAUAUAACAUGUAACGGAUAAUUACAAUUUUUCAAUAAACAAAAUACAAUUCUUCAAUGAACAAAAUUCCAGAUGAAAAAUCUCUGCACUGCGCUUCAGUCCAGCAUACUCUUCAAGCUAUGGAAAUGGGUUGUUGAAUAAAGUAGUGUUAUUAAUGAAUAUCAUAUAUAAUUUACAAAAAUGAAUCGAACUUCAAUUAUGAGUAAUUAGUUGUACGUAAAAUAACACAUGUAUCAUUAUAAUAAUUUCGAAUACAAUGCCUAAUAAAUCGAAUUAGUACUAAAAUUAUUAUAAAUAUGGAUUCACGAGAUAUGUCAAAAACCAAAAAAAGUUAGAUUCAUUAAUUAUUUAUUUUUAUUCGAAAGAUUAAUGUUUAUUAUUCUAAACAAAAAUAUAUAGCCUUAUGAAUGUGAAUAGUUGUUUCAUUCAAGUAUGUAGAAGCAAUAAUUAACAAAUCCAUAUUUCAAAACAAAAUGAGUUUAUAGAUCUCGAAAAAACAUAAAAUAGAAUUUGUUAUAUUACAUUCUUUUGUCUGUUUUUGAAUUUUUCUGCACAUAUGGGGAAUUGAACAUAGUUGGGUGAAGGGGGCACCAUCUCGACAGACAGAACCAAACAUGUACUGAGUUACUUUCGAUUAAAUAGUCUAACACAGUACAAAACCAUGAAAGUAUUUUCCCACCAUGAAACCAUAAAUAUUCAAACACAGUAUAGCAGAUCCGAGUUUUCGAUAUGUUUUAAAAAUUGUCAUUUACAUUCUUAGGGCUGAAAAAUCAAUAGAAAUCAGAAAAUGCAAUUGCCAGCAUCAUAUUUCGAAUGAAAUCACUAUGCAAACGACAGCAACAAGUAAUUUUCGAAAUAAUUUUCAUACAGAGCCGCCAAAAAAUUUCGAACUGACCUUGUUCGAUUUGAUGGAAUCGGAAGCCGAGUUUUGUUUUCUUUUCGAACAGACCUCGUUCGAUUUGCUCGAAUCGAAAUGUGAAAUAUGUUCGGUGGUCUUCAAUUUGCAGAAAGAAGAUAGAAGAAGAGUUUUUUGGCUGGCGUGAAUUUUGGGAUGUGGAGA